rnacentral:rRNA from 1 species
CCAGUAAACGGCGGCCGUAACUAUAACGGUCCUAAGGUAGCGAAAUUCCUUGUCGGGUAAGUUCCGACCUGCACGAAUGGCGUAAUGAUGGCCAGGCUGUCUCCACCCGAGACUCAGUGAAAUUGAACUCGCUGUGAAGAUGCAGUGUACCCGCGGCAAGACGGAAAGACCCCGUGAACCUUUACUAUAGCUUGACACUGAACAUUGAGCCUUGAUGUGUAGGAUAGGUGGGAGGCUUUGAAGUGUGGACGCCAGUCUGCAUGGAGCCAACCUUGAAAUACCACCCUUUAACGUUUGAUGUUCUAACCUAGGCCCAUAAACUGGGUCGGGGACCGUGUCUGGUGGGUAGUUUGACUGGGGCGGUCUCCUCCUAAAGAGUAACGGAGGAGCACGAAGGUUGGCUAAGCAUGGUCGGACAUCAUGCGGUUAGUGCAAAGGCAUAAGCCAGCUUGACUGCGAGAGUGACGGCUCGAGCAGGUACGAAAGUAGGUCUUAGUGAUCCGGUGGUUCUGAAUGGAAGGGCCAUCGCUCAACGGAUAAAAGGUACUCCGGGGAUAACAGGCUGAUACCGCCCAAGAGUUCAUAUCGACGGCGGUGUUUGGCACCUCGAUGUCGGCUCAUCACAUCCUGGGGCUGAAGUAGGUCCCAAGGGUAUGGCUGUUCGCCAUUUAAAGUGGUACGCGAGCUGGGUUUAGAACGUCGUGAGACAGUUCGGUCCCUAUCUGCCGUGGGCGUUGGAAGAUUGAGAGGGGUUGCUCCUAGUACGAGAGGACCGGAGUGAACGCACCACUGGUGUUCGGGUUGUCAUGCCAAUGGCAUUGCCCGGUAGCUAAGUGCGGAAGAGAUAACCGCUGAAAGCAUCUAAGCGGGAAACUUGCCUCGAGAUGAGUCUUCCCUGUCGCUUUAAGCGACCUAAAGGAACGUUUAAGACUAAGACGUUGAUAGGCUGGGUGUGUAAGCGUAGCGAUACGUUGAGCUAACCAGUACUAAUGAACCGUGAGGCUUAACCUG